GGAGCAAGGACCGGACGAGACGCUACGCCUGAAAACAGGCGGCGGGCGAGGGACGAGGCUUACCACGGCACCACGCGAGUGGAAAGGGUCGUCUCCGCUAGCGGCGGCCCACACCAGCUCACCGAGGGGCGGCAGCGCGCGGCCCGGCUGCCGGACCGUACCAUCCCGGGCGGUGGAGCCGCCGCGGAGGGGCGCGCGCGAGCCGAAGGCGCACCCGGGAGGCCCAGGUAGCCCGGGGGCCGGUGCUGGGGCGCCGGGCAGGCCCGGCUCCCGCCUCGACCCACCCGGAGCCAGCCCCCUCUGCGGACACGACAUCCCCAUGGGGACGGUGGCGCGAAACGCCCCACUCUGCCGCACCCAAACUCUGCAGACCCCCAGCUUCCCUGGGCGGCCGCGACCUCCCGCCUCCCCGUCUGCCGCUGAGGGCCCGCGGCGUACACAAUAGGCUUCCCAGAAGGGUUAAGAGGCAGAGGUAGAAGAAAUACGGACUUUAAUGAAGAGUUUUCCCUUUGGUAUAAGUGAGACCCGUGGAAACAUCCAAACAGCAAAAGGAGGCCAGGAUGAAAACGGUCAACUCUCCCUUAUCCACAAGGCCAAAAGAGGGGGGGCCGGCUUGCUGUGGUGUGGCCACCCCGGGCCUAGGCUGGGCCGGGCCUGUAGAAGGUACUCAGGAACUGCAGGUUUUGCGUUUCCCCUCCAUGAAACUGACAGGCAUUCGGGCUGACUUCUGCCUCUCAGUCUCGCGGUAAGAGACCCAAGUUUUUCUAGUCCUAGAUGGAAAUAAAUUUCAUCUGCCUCA
rnacentral:lncRNA from 1 species